rnacentral:ncRNA from 1 species
UUCUCAACUUAUUCCAAACUUCGAACCUCCUUGUUAGGCAUUUACCUAACUGGAAAUGCUUAAAUGAAUUAGCGUUACAAGUGGGCUCUGACCGGUAAGCGGUCAUGGCGAAAUGGGAUGAACCAUACGUCUGAAUAAGGUGCCGAAAUGUACUAUCACUGAUACCAUAAAGGGAGUCCAUGUAUUUAGACAGCAGGUCGGUGCCCCUAAAAGCAGGUAUCCGCUAAAGAGUGUGUUAAAACUCACCUGCCGAAUACUAGGGCCCCGAAAAUGAAUGGCGCAUAUAGUACUACCGAUCUCAGACAUCAGUUCUAUUGAACUGAGAGUAGGGGGAUGUGGACAUUUUUGUGAAGGUGCAAUGUGAGUUGGACUGGAAGAAUGUCUAUUACAGAUCCUAAUUGAAGUAGCGAUUAUCCAGGCUUGUAUCCUGGGGGCUGAUGAGGAGUAGGGUUUCUGGACAACUUAAACAGAUCCAGAGUUAGUCGAUCCUAAUCUCAAUAAUGGGAGAAAGGGAGUACAGUUGAUAUUCUGUAACUGACAACAGUUCGCGGCAACGCAUACUAUUUUUCUCCGCCAAUCUUAUACCGUUGGUAGGGAUCUCUUUCCUACAUGACAGUACUAAUACCCAGGGAAACUGGUCAUCAGGCGAACUGCGGCGUUCUGCUGGCAAAACAUAGCUUCGGUUAUGUCAAUGGCUAUUGGAUUGGUCCAUGAAGCGAAAAAUAGUUUACUGUGUCACUCGUACCGAUAACCGCAUCAGGUCUUCUAGGUAAGUAGCCUAUGGCCAUUGAGGCAUGAUAGUUCAGGGAAUUCGGCCAAUUAGAGCUGUAACUUCGGGAUAAAGCUUGGCUCUGAUGAAAAUCAGAACCGAUUGUACGCGGAGAGCCCA